CUAGAGUCAUUUCUAUAGAAUUAUGUUACAUUCCAUGACCAGGGCCCUGCCUUUUAAGGCCUUCUGCCCUUCCUGUAAGCAAACAUGGAGCACAAAAUGAACAGUGACCCUAACUCAGCACUCUUCUCACUGCUAUGGACACAUUUCAGAGAGUGAAAGCUGAGAUUGUCUUGUAAUCAAAUGACUUCAGGAGCUGGUGCUUUGGAAAAAAAACAACAAAUAUUGUGAGACACAUAAUAAAAUCACAAGAGUUGGCAGUA